rnacentral:rRNA from 1 species
GUCUGGGAAACUGCCUGAUGGAGGGGGAUAACUACUGGAAACGGUAGCUAAUACCGCAUAACGUCGCAAGACCAAAGAGGGGGACCUUCGGGCCUCUUGCCAUCGGAUGUGCCCAGAUGGGAUUAGCUAGUAGGUGGGGUAACGGCUCACCUAGGCGACGAUCCCUAGCUGGUCUGAGAGGAUGACCAGCCACACUGGAACUGAGACACGGUCCAGACUCCUACGGGAGGCAGCAGUGGGGAAUAUUGCACAAUGGGCGCAAGCCUGAUGCAGCCAUGCCGCGUGUAUGAAGAAGGCCUUUCGGGUUGUAAAGUACUUUUCAGCGGGGAGGAAGGCGAUAAGGUUAAUAACCUUGUCGAUUGACGUUACCCGCAGAAGAAGCACCGCUAACUCC